UAGCCUAAUGGUUAAGGCUAUGGGUCGCCAAUCCGGAGACGGCGGGUUCGAUUCCCGU
rfam:Aedes albopictus isolate Foshan contig21916, whole genome shotgun sequence.